AUUGAACGCUGGCGGCAGGCCUAACACAUGCAAGUCGAGCGGAUGACAGGAGCUUGCUCCUGGAUUCAGCGGCGGACGGGUGAGUAAUGCCUAGGAAUCUGCCUGGUAGUGGGGGACAACGUUUCGAAAGGAACGCUAAUACCGCAUACGUCCUACGGGAGAAAGCAGGGGACCUUCGGGCCUUGCGCUAUCAGAUGAGCCUAGGUCGGAUUAGCUAGUUGGUGAGGUAAUGGCUCACCAAGGCGACGAUCCGUAACUGGUCUGAGAGGAUGGUCAGUCACACUGGAACGGAGACACGGUCCAGACUCCUACGGGAGGCAGCAGUGGGGAAUAUUGGACAAUGGGCGAAAGCCUGAUUCAGCCAUGCCGCGUGUGUGAAGAAGGUCUUCGGAUUGUAAAGCACUUUAAGUUGGGAGGAAGGGUUGUAGAUUAAUACUCUGCAAUUUUGACGUUACCGACAGAAUAAGCACCGGCUAACUCUGUGCCAGCCGCCGCCGUAACAC
rnacentral:rRNA from 1 species